rnacentral:piRNA from 1 species
UCAAGCCUGGGCUGAUGGGUACUGCAUGA